GGAUUCACAACGGAUAUGGGGUAGGAAGGUAUUUGGAACGUUCUUCAAUGAGUAGAUCUCUUGUGAGGAUUAAAGGCUACUGAUCGAGGAGUGUGUGAAAAGCUUGGAUCAUUGGAGUGACUAAAUCUAGUCAUCAACAUCGGCAAAGGAGAAAUCGCAUAGGAGAUCUCGUCAAGGAAUAUCUCAAAUCAGGUG